GUUGUUGUAAGGGGCAGCUUCCUCUUAGCAUAACAGGUAACACCUGGAACUAUUUCCCUUGGAGCAGCUGAGCAAAUAGGCUGUACAGGAAGCAUGGCUGGAGAGGCUUCAGGAAACUUACAAUCAUGGCAGAAGGCGAAGAGGGAGGAGGAACGUCUUACAUGGCCGAAGCAGGAGAAAGAGAGCAAAGGUGGGAGGUGCUAUGCACCUUUAAACAACCAGAUCUCAUGGAACUCACUGUCACAAGAACAGCAAGGGAGAUGUCUACCAUCAUGUGGGUAGACUCCCAGUCACCUCCCAACAGGCCCCUUCUCCAACAUUGGGGAUUACAAUUCAACAUGAGAUUUGGACAGGGACACAAAUCCAAACCAUAUCAACAACCAUAUGCGUUAUAUAUUUUAAUUCCCUUAUUACAGAUGAGAAACCUGAUACUUUAAGAAAU
rnacentral:lncRNA from 1 species